UAACAACUCUCAGCAACGGAUAUCUCGGCUCUUGCAUCGAUGAAGAACGCAGCGAAAUGCGAUAAAUGGUGUGAAUUGCAGAAUCCCGUGAACCAUCGAGUCUUUGAACGCAAGUUGCGCCCGAGGCCAUCAGGCCAAGGGCACGCCUGCCUGGGCAUUG
rnacentral:rRNA from 1 species